GAGUUUGAUCCUGGCUCAGAUUGAACGCUGGCGGCAGGCCUAACACAUGCAAGUCGGGCGGUAGAGAGAAGCUUGCUUCUCUUGAGAGCGGCGGACGGGUGAGUAAUGCCUAGGAAUCUGCCUGGUAGUGGGGGAUAACGCUCGGAAACGGACGCUAAUACCGCAUACGUCCUACGGGAGAAAGCAGGGGACCUUCGGGCCUUGCGCUAUCAGAUGAGCCUAGGUCGGAUUAGCUAGUUGGUGAGGUAAUGGCUCACCAAGGCGACGAUCCGUAACUGGUCUGAGAGGAUGAUCAGUCACACUGGAACUGAGACACGGUCCAGACUCCUACGGGAGGCAGCAGUGGGGAAUAUUGGACAAUGGGCGAAAGCCUGAUCCAGCCAUGCCGCGUGUGUGAAGAAGGUCUUCGGAUUGUAAAGCACUUUAAGUUGGGAGGAAGGGCAGUAAAUUAAUACUUUGCUGUUUUGACGUUACCGACAGAAUAAGCACCGGCUAACUCUGUGCCAGCCG
rnacentral:rRNA from 1 species